UACGUAGGGGGCGAGCGUUGUCCGGAUUUAUUGGGCGUAAAGAGCUCGUAGGCGGUUCGGUAAGUCGGAUGUGAAAUCUCCACGCUCAACGUGGAGGGGCCAUUCGAUACUGCCGUGACUCGAGUCCGGUAGGGGAGUGUGGAAUUCCCGGUGUAGCGGUGAAAUGCGUAGAUAUCGGGAGGAACCCCGGCGGUGGAGACGGCUUAGUGGACCGCCACUGACGCUGAGGCACGAAAGCGUGGGUAGCAAACAGG
rnacentral:rRNA from 1 species